GCUUGCAUCAUGAUUUACAUUUGAGUGAGUGGCGAACUGGUGAGUAACACGUGGGAAACCUGCCCAGAAGCGGGGGAUAACACCUGGAAACAGAUGCUAAUACCGCAUAACAACUUGGACCGCAUGGUCCGAGCUUGAAAGAUGGCUUUGGCUAUCACUUUUGGAUGGUCCCGCGGCGUAUUAGCUAGAUGGUGGGGUAACGGCUCACCAUGGCAAUGAUACGUAGCCGACCUGAGAGGGUAAUCGGCCACAUUGGGACUGAGACACGGCCCAAACUCCAACGGGAGGCAGCAGUAGGGAAUCUUCCACAAUGGACGAAAGUCUGAUGGAGCAACGCCGCGUGAGUGAAGAAGGGUUUCGGCUCGUAAAACUCUGUUGUUAAAGAAGAACAUAUCUGAGAGUAACUGUUCAGGUAUUGACGGUAUUUAACCAGAAAGCCACGGCUAACUACGUGCCAGCAGCCGCGGUAAUACGUAGGUGGCAAGCGUUGUCCGGAUUUAUUGGGCGUAAAGCGAGCGCAGGCGGUUUUUUAAGUCUGAUGUGAAAGCCUUCGGCUCAACCGAAGAAGUGCAUCGGAAACUGGGAAACUUGAGUGCAGAAGAGGACAGUGGAACUCCAUGUGUAGCGGUGAAAUGCGUAGAUAUAUGGAAGAACACCAGUGGCGAAGGCGGCUGUCUGGUCUGUAACUGACGCUGAGGCUCGAAAGUAUGGGUAGCAAACAGGAUUAGAUACCCUGGUAGUCCAUACCGUAAACGAUGAAUGCUAAGUGUUGGAGGGUUUCCGCCCUUCAGUGCUGCAGCUAACGCAUUAAGCAUUCCGCCUGGGGAGUACGGCCGCAAGGCUGAAACUCAAAGGAAUUGACGGGGGCCCGCACAAGCGGUGGAGCAUGUGGUUUAAUUCGAAGCUACGCGAAGAACCUUACCAGUCUUGACAUACUAUGCAAAUCUAAGAGA
rnacentral:rRNA from 2 species